ACUGACGCACGGCCCUGCUUCCGGGGGCCCGUGCUUGCAACAUCUUUCCACCAUAAAACCGCCAUCGAAGUUAAUUGCCUGCAUUGCUUUGCAAUUGAACAGGUCCAUAAAAUGUUCAUUUGGUGCCGUCUCAGGGACUGAACGGGUGGCCAGUCGCUUGGCUUCGGGCGACAGCUGACAUCUGGGGGGCGGUCCCUAGGCAGGGAGGCGUCUCCGAAAUUGCUGAUGUUGAGCGUUCGGAGGGACUUUCUCGGAGCUGUUCCAAAGCGUGUAGGAGCGACUGGUCAUUUACUGGAAUAUUCCUGCGGGGGGCUGUGGAGGCUGCCAAGAGAUAUUUGCAAUUAAGGUGCAAAACUGAAGCCUGAUGGAAAUGAUGGUUUGCAUGUCAGCGUCAGCUUGCGUGAGUGGCCACUGGGGACUGUGGUCUACAUCAUAAAUUACUUUCCACGGGACCGCCACGAAGGACGAAGACCACCUCCGAGCGGGACCCGCCGGCGGGGGGCUGCUCGUUACCAAGGCAACCGCUCCUUCUCGGCACCCCAAACACGGCAGAGGGGCCAGGGCCGUGGAAGCAACCAAAAGAGCGCCCUCCGGCCCCGCCUCGAGGACCUUGGCGAGAAGAGGAGAAGACGAGCGGUGCCGGGACUGGACUGCAAUAACCGGAAGCACCUGGAAUGUGAUGGGGCCCUCCGAGAAGCCCCUGCAGGGGUGGGAUGGGGAGGGGAGUCCACGGAGCGUGGCCCGGGCAGCACACGCGGCGGCUUCGCCCUUGCUGCCCCUGCUCGGUGGGGCGCCCCUUCUGGCUCUGGAACCGGUUCCCGGGACACGCAGGGAUGCUGUGGAGGACGCAAGGCCCGGCGGGUGGGCGCUUGGAGGCCACCCUCUCUGGGGCCCGCCCCGCCCCGCCCCGCCCCUCGGCGGACACGCUCGGGCCGCGUGGAGCACGGGUGGAACGCCGCCGAAGAAGCCCGGCCCGCUUGCUGCUCAGGCAGCUCUCGCAGGCGGCAGCGUCGUGGCUCCGGCGCGGGAUGGCGCCCGUGGCCGCUGGGUCCCAGCGCCGAGGACAGACGGAGCCCGCCCUCCUCUUCGCCCAUCAGCCGUGCCGUGGCCGCCAAAGCCACCCAAGAAGGGGCCACCGCGGUGGUGAGGAAGACAGACCCAAGCGCCUGAUUCCCGUUGUGAGAACCUGGCCUGUGACCGGAAGAGGUCCCAACUGAGGUCCUGGCCUUGGCCCCCAUUUCUCCUCCGAGUCAAGACCGCCACGUGGGCUCUGCCCCCACCAUCCAGCGGCUUCUCUGUGGGGAUCUGUUUGCUGGAUCUGCUCCCUCCCCCACGCCCUUUGAGGCACCGCAUCGAAGGCUGCCAGUCACGUCGUGGUCGUCGUCGUCUCUCAUUAAUGCUUCGGAGGACGAACGAGACAAUAUAAUCGCUCUCUGCACACCUGUCAGGUUCUGCUGGAAUAGAGGUCCCGCUCUCCAAGGAGGAACGUCUGCCACGAGGGGACACGGCUAGCCUGGGCUUCUUCACACGGAGGAUACAGAGUCCCAGAGAGAACACCAGGAAAUGUCCAAAACCUGUCGAUGCCUAGGCUGGAACUGGUAUGGUGUCACUUCUCGCACAUUCUGUUGGCCAAGGAACAUCACAAGACAUGCUUCUCCGGCUGUUCCGGUUACUGAUCUCUCUGACUCCUGACAGAUGGACCAUCAGACCCUCACCUCCAAGCCUGUUGCCAGUUGAAGCCACGCUCCUGAUUCCAUGUGUGCAAACUCACUUCAGAUUCUCAACCCAACUGUAAGGACAAGACUCCAAGGCCGAUCUGACGGAGACGAGGAAGAUACGAGACUGGCCACAUCUUUAAAGAGCAGGGGUCCCUCCGAACUGAACCACGGCCAACCUGUCCCACCAGGCGGAAACAACGAGCAGGAUUGCACAUUCCGCGUCGGGCGGGC